UAGCAAAGCGAGCAGUUAUAUCGCACGAGAAGUUGCGCAAUAUUGUAGGUUCACAAAAUCGCUUCUAAUGCAUUUAUAACGAUUGAAUGGAUUUGUAGUUGUAUCUCCCACCUUGGUGGAAGUUAACGUGCAUGCGUGGUUCAUUGCCAUAUCCCACCACAUCAGUGCUAAACAAGCGUUCGUUAAAGUACAAACUAUCAAUAAUAUUUAGCGGAUUACUUCAAAACAAUUAAAAUUAACUUGAAUUAAAUUAUGGAAAAAGAAGAAAAAUGCGAGCACAGACGAAAUCCACGAGCUAGAACAAAUAUUAUCUCAAAAUUAUUGCUUCUAUAUAUAAUUCCUGUGCUCUAUAAAUCAUAUAAACAUGGUUUUACAAAAAACGAUCUUUAUGAAGUACUGAAAGAAGAUGAUUCGGAGCGUUUAACUGAUUCAUUGGAAAAUGCUUGGAAACAAGCAAAUAAAAAACAUAAAAAAUACACACUACACAUAGCACUAUUUAAAAUAUUUGGUGUACCAAUCUGUACAACUGGUAUUUUAUUAUUUAUCAAAGAAUUUUCAAGGAUAUUACUUAUUCCCGUCUCAAUUGGACGAUUAGUUACUUAUUUUUCUCACACCAAUGAAGAGAUUACACUCACAGAAGCUUACCUAUAUGCAACGACCUUAAUUGCCUAUUUGGCCGUGGAAAAACUAAUUGCUCAUUCGGUUAUGUUCUGGCUGCAACACAUGACGAUGAAGAUGCGCAUCUCUUGCAGCGGACUUAUCUACAGAAAAAUCCUGCAAUUCAAUAAAAAUUCAAUGCAUAAAAUUUCCGUCGGUCAUGUGGUUAACUUAAUGACGGGUGAUGCAAGUCGAUUUGAAAUGGGUUUCCAUUGUUUGCAUUAUAUAUGGAUUGCUCCGAUUGCUACCAUCACAGUUAUGAGUUAUCUAUACACAAAGAUGGGAUCAGUAUGUUUCUUAGGAAUUGGGUUUUUAUUGUUUUUAACACCUAUUCAGAUUUUAGCAGCGAAAAAAAAUGCUGGAUUACGUUUAAAAACAGCGCAAAGUACUGAUAUAAGAGUAAGAUUGAUGAAUGAGAUAAUAUCAGGAGUUCAAGUGAUUAAAAUGUAUACGUGGGAAAGACCGUUCGCCAAGU